rfam:Oryza sativa (indica cultivar-group) chromosome 2, whole genome shotgun sequence.
AAAAAGGCAAACCCUGGGUUUCCGUGUCCAACUUUGAUUGUCCGUCUUAUAUGAAAUUUUUUUAUAAUUCGUAUUUUCAUUGUUGUUAGAUGAUAAAACAUGAUUAAUAUUUUAUGCGUGACUUGUCUUUUUAAUUUUUUUCAUAAUUUUUUUAAAUAAGACGGACGGUCAAACGUUGGGCACGGAAACCAGGGUUUGUCUUUUU